GAAUUCAGUCAAACUCCGAAUGCCAAUGACUUAUCCUUAGGAGUCAGACUGCGAGUGAUAAGAUCCGUAGUCAAGAGGGAAACAGCCCAGAUCGCCAGCUAAGGUCCCAAAGUGUGUAUUAAGUGGAAAAGGAUGUGGAGUUGCUUAGACAACUAGGAUGUUGGCUCAGAAGCAGCCACCAUUUAAAGAGUGCGUAAUAGCUCACUAGUCGAGUGACUCUGCGCCGAAAAUGUACCGGGGCUAAAUACACCACCGAAGCUGCGAAUUGAUACCAAUGGUAUCAGUGGUAGGGGAGCGUUCUAAGUGCAGUGAAGUCAGACCGGAAGGACUGGUGGAGCGCUUAGAAGUGAGAAUGCCGGUAUGAGUAGCGAAAGACGGGUGAGAAUCCCGUCCACCGAAUGCCUAAGGUUUCCUGAGGAAGGCUCGUCCGCUCAGGGUUAGUCAGGACCUAAGCCGAGGCCGACAGGCGUAGGCGAUGGACAACAGGUUGAUAUUCCUGUACCACCUCUUUAUCGUUUGAGCAAUGGAGGGACGCAGAAGGAUAGAAGAAGCGUGCGAUUGGUUGUGCACGUCCAAGCAGUUAGGCUGAUAAGUAGGCAAAUCCGCUUAUCGUGAAGGCUGAGCUGUGAUGGGGAAGCUCCUUAUGGAGCGAAGUCUUUGAUUCCCCGCUGCCAAGAAAAGCUUCUAGCGAGAUAAAAGGUGCCUGUACCGCAAACCGACACAGGUAGGCGAGGAGAGAAUCCUAAGGUGUGCGAGAGAACUCUGGUUAAGGAACUCGGCAAAAUGACCCCGUAACUUCGGGAGAAGGGGUGCUUUCUUAACGGAAAGCCGCAGUGAAUAGGCCCAAGCGACUGUUUAGCAAAAACACAGGUCUCUGCGAAGCCGUAAGGCGAAGUAUAGGGGCUGACACCUGCCCGGUGCUGGAAGGUUAAGGAGAGGGGUUAGCGUAAGCGAAGCUCUGAACUGAAGCCCCAGUAAACGGCGGCCGUAACUAUAACGGUCCUAAGGUAGCGAAAUUCCUUGUCGGGUAAGUUCCGACCCGCACGAAAGGUGUAACGAUUUGGGCACUGUCUCAACCAGAGACUCGGUGAAAUUAUAGUACCUGUGAAGAUGCAGGUUACCCGCGACAGGACGGAAAGACCCCGUGGAGCUUUACUGUAGCCUGAUAUUGAAUUUUGGUACAGUUUGUACAGGAUAGGCGGGAGCCAUUGAAACCGGAGCGCUAGCUUCGGUGGAGGCGCUGGUGGGAUACCGCCCUGACUGUAUUGAAAUUCUAACCUACGGGUCUUAUCGACCCGGGAGACAGUGUCAGGUGGGCAGUUUGACUGGGGCGGUCGCCUCCUAAAGUGUAACGGAGGCGCCCAAAGGUUCCCUCAGAAUGGUUGGAAAUCAUUCGUAGAGUGCAAAGGCAUAAGGGAGCUUGACUGCGAGACCUACAAGUCGAGCAGGGACGAAAGUCGGGCUUAGUGAUCCGGUGGUUCCGCAUGGAAGGGCCAUCGCUCAACGGAUAAAAGCUACCCCGGGGAUAACAGGCUUAUCUCCCCCAAGAGUCCACAUCGACGGGGAGGUUUGGCACCUCGAUGUCGGCUCAUCGCAUCCUGGGGCUGUAGUCGGUCCCAAGGGUUGGGCUGUUCGCCCAUUAAAGCGGUACGCGAGCUGGGUUCAGAACGUCGUGAGACAGUUCGGUCCCUAUCCGUCGUGGGCGCAGGAAAUUUGAGAGGAGCUGUCCUUAGUACGAGAGGACCGGGAUGGACGCACCGCUGGUGUACCAGUUGUUCUGCCAAGGGCAUAGCUGGGUAGCUAUGUGCGGAAGGGAUAAGUGCUGAAAGCAUCUAAGCAUGAAGCCCCCCUCAAGAUGAGAUUUCCCAUAGCGUAAGCUAGUAAGAUCCCUGAAAGAUGAUCAGGUUGAUAGGUUCGAGGUGGAAGCAUGGUGACAUGUGGAGCUGACGAAUACUAAUAGAUCGAGGACUUAACCAU
rnacentral:rRNA from 1 species